rnacentral:rRNA from 1 species
AACGAACGCUGGCGGCAUGCCUAACACAUGCAAGUCGAACGAGACCUUCGGGUCUAGUGGCGCACGGGUGCGUAACGCGUGGGAAUCUGCCCUUCGGUUGGGAAUAACUGAGAGAAAUUUCAGCUAAUACCUUAUAAUGUCUUCGGACCAAAGAUUUAUCGCCGAGGGAUGAGCCCGCGUAGGAUUAGGUAGUUGGUGGGGUAAUGGCCUACCAAGCCGACGAUCCUUAGCUGGUCUGAGAGGAUGAUCAGCCACACUGGGACUGAGACACGGCCCAGACUCCUACGGGAGGCAGCAGUGGGGAAUAUUGGACAAUGGGCGAAAGCCUGAUCCAGCAAUGCCGCGUGAGUGAUGAAGGCCUUAGAGUUGUAAAGCUCUUUUACCCGGGAUGAUAAUGACAGUACCGGGAGAAUAAGCUCCGGCUAACUCCGUG